GAAUUCGCCCUUAGAGUUUGAUCCUGGCUCAGGACGAACGCUGGCGGCGUGCCUAACACAUGCAAGUCGAACGAGCCGAUUCCCUUCGGGGAUGAAAGCUAGUGGCGGACGGGUGAGUAACGCGUGAGUAACCUGCCUCUCAGAGUGGAAUACCGUUUGGAAACGAACGUUAAUACCGCAUAACAUCACGGUGCCGCAUGACACUGUGAUCAAAGGAGCAAUCCGCUGAGAGAUGGACUCGCGUCCGAUUAGAUAGUUGGCGGGGUAACGGCCCACCAAGUCGACGAUCGGUAGCCGGACUGAGAGGUUGAACGGCCACAUUGGGACUGAGACACGGCCCAGACUCCUACGGGAGGCAGCAGUGAGGGAUAUUGCACAAUGGGCGCAAGCCUGAUGCAGCAACGCCGCGUGAGGGAUGACGGUUUUCGGAUUGUAAACCUCUGUCUUCGGUGAUGAUAAUGACAUUAGCCGAGGAGGAAGCCACGGCUAACUACGUGCCAGCAGCCGCGGUAAUACGUAGGUGGCGAGCGUUGUCCGGAAUUACUGGGUGUAAAGGGAGCGCAGGCGGGAAAGCAAGUCAGUGGUGAAAUUUAUGGGCUUAACCCAUAAACUGCCAUUGAAACUGUUUUUCUUGAGUGGAGUAGAGGUAGGCGGAAUUCCGAGUGUAGCGGUGAAAUGCGUAGAUAUUCGGAGGAACACCAGUGGCGAAGGCGGCCUACUGGGCUCUAACUGACGCUGAGGCUCGAAAGUGUGGGGAGCAAACAGGAUUAGAUACCCUGGUAGUCCACACUGUAAACGAUGAUUACUAGGUGUGGGGGGUCUGACCCCCUCUGUGCCGCAGUUAACGCAAUAAGUAAUCCACCUGGGGAGUACGGCCGCAAGGUUGAAACUCAAAGGAAUUGACGGGGGCCCGCACAAGCGGCGGAGCAUGCGGAUUAAUUCGAUGCAACGCGAAGAACCUUACCAAGGCUUGACAUGAACCGGAAAGGCCUGGAAACAGGUCCCCCACUUGUGGCCGGUUUACAGGUGGUGCAUGGUUGUCGUCAGCUCGUGUCGUGAGAUGUUGGGUUAAGUCCCGCAACGAGCGCAACCCUCGUUCUAUGUUGCCAGCGGGUUAUGCCGGGGACUCAUAGGAGACUGCCGGGGUCAACUCGGAGGAAGGUGGGGACGACGUCAAAUCAUCAUGCCCCUUAUGUCUUGGGUUUCACGCAUGCUACAAUGGCCGGUACAAAGGGUUGCGAUACUGUGAGGUGGAGCUAAUCCCAAAAAGCCGGUCUCAGUUCGGAUUGAGGUCUGCAACUCGACCUCAUGAAGUUGGAGUCGCUAGUAAUCGCAGAUCAGCAACGCUGCGGUGAAUACGUUCCCGGGCCUUGCACUCACCGCCCGUCA
rnacentral:rRNA from 1 species